rnacentral:rRNA from 1 species
UGAGGAAUAUUGGUCAAUGGGCGAGAGCCUGAACCAGCCAAGUCGCGUGAGGGAAGACGGUCCUAUGGAUUGUAAACCUCUUUUGUCGGGGAGCAAAAAGGCCUCGUGAGGCCACAAGUGAGAGUACCCGAAGAAAAAGCAUCGGCUAACUCCGUGCCAGCAGCCGCGGUAAUACGGAGGAUGCGAGCGUUAUCCGGAUUUAUUGGGUUUAAAGGGUGCGCAGGCGGUCUGUUAAGUCAGCGGUCAAAGCCCGGGGCUCAACCCCGGCCCGCCGUUGAAACUGGCAGUCUCGAGUUGGAGAGAAGUAUGCGGAAUGCGCGGUGUAGCGGUGAAAUGCAUAGAUAUCGCGCAGAACUCCGAUUGCGAAGGCAGCAUGCCGGCUCCACACUGACGCUGAGGCACGAAAGCGUGGGUAUCGAACAGG